rnacentral:misc_RNA from 1 species
GCUUUGAUUCUGUUGUCGAGUCAGGUUUGUGUUUGAAUUUAUUUCAUUCAUUAUAAUGAGGCAUCUCUCGUUAACAUAUAUCAAUUUAAAUUCAUUUAUUCAUUGUAAACACCAAUGGGCGCAUUACUGAAUUAUUUGAAAUCCAUUUUGUAUUAGUCAUAUCUGCGUUCACAUAAAAAUUGGUAAUAAGAAGAAUUAAAAGGGUUAGUCUUUGGGAAUCAACAUGCUUUUGGACAUUGUCGUUGGAGCUUUUGUGAUCUACUGGAAUUCAGCAUUCCUUAUUUGUAACCUUCAUUAGUUAUAAUUUAUGUUUUAGAUGACUUUUUUUUUAACAAUUUCAAUUUAUGCCUUUUUUUUUUACAAUUUCAAUUUAUGUUUUUAUUCUUUAAAAUAUUAGAACAUAGGCAGAAAUUCCAUCUUCCUUGUUAUUGCGUGUGUCCUACAAAGAUAUUCUAAAACUGAUAAAAUUUCUAGUUAUCCCGUAUGUUUUUACUGUAUAGAUUUCCACUUUCCUACUCUUAAGGUGCCAGGUUACCUUUCCAUAUUGCAAAUUUUCUUUUCUUUUUUUUGGUAGUGUUAUACGGCUUUUCUUGUCAGUGUGUAUAUUGGUAUAAUUUAUACAUAUUAUAAUUCAUACUUUCUCCUACUUUUCUAAUCCCUCCCUCCACCUCUCCCUAUUGAUGUUACAAGUAGCAGUGUACCUAAGCUUCUAUUCUUGUUUUCUUGU